GACGAACGCUGGCGGCGUGCUUAACACAUGCAAGUCGAACGGAAAGGCCCUGCUUUUGUGGGGUGCUCGAGUGGCGAACGGGUGAGUAACACGUGAGUAACCUGCCCUUGACUUUGGGAUAACUUCAGGAAACUGGGGCUAAUACCGGCUAGGAGCUCCUGCUGCAUGGUGGGGGUUGGAAAGUUUCGGCGGUUGGGGAUGGACUCGCGGCUUAUCAGCUUGUUGGUGGGGUAGUGGCUUACCAAGGCUUUGACGGGUAGCCGGCCUGAGCGGGUGACCGGCCACAUUGGGACUGAGAUACGGCCCGGACUCCUACGGGAGGCAGCAGUGGGGAAUAUUGCACAAUGGGCGGAAGCCUGAUGCAGCAACGCCGCGUGCGGGAUGACGGCCUUCGGGUUGUAAACCGCUUUCGCCUGUGACGAAGCGUGAGUGACGGUAAUGGGUAAAGAAGCACCGGCUAACUACGUG
rnacentral:rRNA from 1 species